AUGAACGCUGGCGGCGUGCCUAAUACAUGCAAGUCGAGCGAACAGACGAGGAGCUUGCUCCUCUGACGUUAGCGGCGGACGGGUGAGUAACACGUGGAUAACCUACCUAUAAGACUGGGAUAACUUCGGGAAACCGGAGCUAAUACCGGAUAAUAUAUUGAACCGCAUGGUUCAAUAGUGAAAGACGGUUUUGCUGUCACUUAUAGAUGGAUCCGCGCCGCAUUAGCUAGUUGGUAAGGUAACGGCUUACCAAGGCAACGGUGCGUAGCCGACCUGAGAGGGUGAUCGGCCACACUGGAACUGAGACACGGUCCAGACUCCUACGGGAGGCAGCAGUAGGGAAUCUUCCGCAAUGGGCGAAAGCCUGACGGAGCAACGCCGCGUGAGUGAUGAAGGUCUUCGGAUCGUAAAACUCUGUUAUUAGGGAAGAACAAAUGUGUAAGUAACUAUGCACGUCUUGACGGUACCUAAUCAGAAAGCCACGGCUAACUACGUG
rnacentral:rRNA from 1 species